rnacentral:rRNA from 1 species
GACGAACGCUGGCGGCGUGCUUAACACAUGCGAGUCGAACGGAAAGGCCCUGCUUUUGUGCGGUGCUCGAUUGCCGAACGGGGGAGUAACACGUGAGUAACCUGCCCUUGACUUUGGGAUAACUUCACGAAACUGGGGCUAAUACCGGAUAGGAUCUCCUGCUCCAUGGUGGGCGUUGGAAAGUUUCGGCUGUUGGGGAUGUAUUCGCGGCUUAUCAGCUUGUUUGUGGGGUAGGUGUUUACCAAGGCUUUGACGGGUAGCCUGCAUGGGAGGGGGGCCGGGGACCAUAGGACUACGAGAGGGAGCAGAAGGGUACGUGCGGCAGUAGGGGGGAACAUUGCACAAUGGGCGGGAGUGAGAUGCAGCAACCUCGGGUGCGGGAAGCCGGCUUUUUGGUUGAAAACAGCUGUCGCAUGAGACGAAGCGUGAGUGACGGUAAUGAGUAAAGAAGCACCGGCUAACUACGUG